GACCAUGGAAGGCCCGAUACGAGAGGCAUGGCUAAACUUCAGUCAGAUCACUCCACUGGAGGCGAAGGGUCGCCGUCUCCUCUUUUGCUGUGCCCAUUUCCUCAAGAGUGACUACAUAGAAUUGGUGAUCGACCCUGGCGGGGCCUAAAGCCAUCAGCAGUGCCUUCACAGAACGCUCCUCGGGGACAGCUGCUGACAGAACCAGGACCAUCUAUGGCACAGCAGGACGUUCCGGUACAUUCGUCUUCGUCAACCGAUACGCUGCGGCAGCCGUCGCCGUCGACGGGGCCCCAAACCACAGAACCCAUGGAACUUCAACCUACGGAUUCAGCUUCAACUGCAGGAGCAGAUUCCCCUGCUGAGAUUUCCAUCGAACAAGAGGUCACACGUACAAGACCACUCCCUCCAACGGAACG